UUGAACGCUGGCGGCAUGCCUUACACAUGCAAGUCGAACGGUAACAGCUCUUCGGAGGCUGACGAGUGGCGAACGGGUGAGUAAUACAUCGGAACGUGCCCGAUCGUGGGGGAUAACGGAGCGAAAGCUUUGCUAAUACCGCAUACGAUCUACGGAUGAAAGCAGGGGACCCUCGGGCCUUGCGCGAACGGAGCGGCCGAUGGCCGAUUAGGUAGUUGGUGGGAUAAAAGCCUACCAAGGCGACGAUCCGUAGCUGGUCUGAGAGGAUGAUCAGCCACACUGGGACUGAGGCACGGCCCAGACUCCUACGGGAGGCAGCAGUGGGGAAUUUUGGACAAUGGGCGCAAGCCUGAUCCAGCCAUGCCGCGUGAGUGAAGAAGGCCUUCGGGUUGUAAAGCUCUUUCAGACGGAAAGAAAUCGGGCGCGUGAAUAGCGUGCCUGGAUGACGGUACUGUCAGAAGAAGCACCGGCUAACUACGU
rnacentral:rRNA from 1 species